rnacentral:rRNA from 1 species
AAUCAACGCUGGCGGCGUGCCUCAGACAUGCAAGUCGAACGAUUAAGACUUCCUUCGGGAAGUGCAUAAAGUGGCGCACGGGUGAGUAACACGUAAGUAAUCUACCCUCGAGUGGGGAAUAACAGUCGGAAACGACUGCUAAUACCGCAUAAUGCAGCGGCACCGCAAGGUGACAGUUGUUAAAGGAGCAAUCCGCUUGAGGAGGAGCUUGCGGCAGAUUAGCUUGUUGGUAAGGUAACGGCUUACCAAGGCUACGAUCUGUAUCCGGUCUAAGAGGACGGUCGGACACACUGACACUGAAUAACGGGUCGGACUCCUACGGGAGGCAGCAGUCGGGAAUUUUGGGCAAUGGGCGAAAGCCUGACCCAGCAACGCCGCGUGAAGGAUGAAGUAUUUCGGUAUGUAAACUUCGAAAGAAUAGGAAGAAUAAAUGACGGUACUAUUUAUAAGCUCCGGCUAACUACGUGCCAGCCGCCGCGGUAACAC